GUAGUACUCCCUCCGUCCGAAAAUACUUGUCAUCAAAAUCAAUAAAAAGGAUGUAUCUAGAUGUAUAUUAGUUCUAGAUACAUCCUUUUUUAUCCAUUUUGAUGACAAGUAUUUUUGGACGGAGGGAGUAUUUC
rnacentral:pre_miRNA from 1 species